GACGAACGCUGGCGGCGUGCUUAACACAUGCAAGUCGAACGGAAAGGCCCUGCUUUUGUGGGGUGCUCGAGUGGCGAACGGGUGAGUAACACGUGAGUAACCUGCCCUUGACUUUGGGAUAACUUCAGGAAACUGGGGCUAAUACCGGAUAGGAGCUCCUGCUGCAUGGUGGGGGUUGGAAAGUUUCGGCGGUUGGGGAUGGACUCGCGGCUUAUCAGCUUGUUGGUGGGGUAGUGGCUUACCAAGGCUUUGACGGGUAGCCGGCCUGAGAGGGUGACCGGCCACAUUGGGACUGAGAUACGGCCCAGACUCCUACGGGAGGCAGCAGUGGGGAAUAUUGCACAAUGGGCGGAAGCCUGAUGCAGCAACGCCGCGUGCGGGAUGACGGCCUUCGGGCUGUAAACCGCUUUCGCCUGUGACGAAGCGUGAGUGAUGGUAAUGGGUAAAGAAGCACCGGCUAACUACGUGCCAGCAGCCGCGGUGAUACGUAGGGUGCGAGCGUUGUCCGGAUUUAUUGGGCGUAAAGGGCUCGUAGGUGGUUGAUCGCGUCGGAAGUGUAAUCUUGGGGCUUAACCCUGAGCGUGCUUUCGAUACGGGUUGACUUGAGGAAGGUAGGGGAGAAUGGAAUUCCUGGUGGAGCGGUGGAAUGCGCAGAUAUCAGGAGGAACACCAGUGGCGAAGGCGGUUCUCUGGGCCUUUCCUGACGCUGAGGAGCGAAAGCGUGGGGAGCGAACAGGCUUAGAUACCCUGGUAGUCCACGCUGUAAACGGUGGGUACUAGGUGUGGGGUCCAUUCCACGGGUUCCGUGCCGUAGCUAACGCUUUAAGUACCCCGCCUGGGGAGUACGGCCGCAAGGCUAAAACUCAAAGGAAUUGACGGGGCCCCGCACAAGCGGCGGAGCAUGCGGAUUAAUUCGAUGCAACGCGUAGAACCUUACCUGGGUUUGACAUGGAUCGGGAGUGCUCAGAGAUGGGUGUGCCUCUUUUGGGGUCGGUUCACAGGUGGUGCAUGCCUGUCGUCAGCUCGUGUCGUGAGAUGUUGGGUUAAGUCCCGCAACGAGCGCAACCCUUGUUCACUGUUGCCAGCACGUUAUGGUGGGGACUCAGUGGAGACCGCCGGGGUCAACUCGGAGGAAGGUGGGGAUGACGUCAAGUCAUCAUGCCCCUUAUGUCCAGGGCUUCACGCAUGCUACAAUGGCUGGUACAGGGAGUGGCGAGCCUGUGAGGGUGAGCGAAUCUCGGAAAGCCGGUCUCAGUUCGGAUUGGGGUCUGCAACUCGACCUCAUGAAGUCGGAGUCGCUAGUAAUCGCAGAUCAGCAACGCUGCGGUGAAUACGUUCCCGGG
rnacentral:rRNA from 1 species